rnacentral:rRNA from 1 species
AUACAGAGGGUGCGAGCGUUAAUCGGAAUUACUGGGCGUAAAGCGCGCGUAGGCGGCUACUUAAGUCAGACGUGAAAUCCCCGGGCUCAACCUGGGAACUGCAUCUGAUACUGGGUAGCUAGAGUUUAGGAGAGGGAAGUAGAAUUUCAGGUGUAGCGGUGAAAUGCAUAGAGAUCUGAAGGAAUACCAGUGGCGAAGGCGGCUUCCUGGCCUAAAACUGACGCUGAGGUGCGAAAGCGUGGGUAGCAAACGGGAUUAGAUACCCCAGUAGUCC